AGCUCAGUUAGUAGAGUGCUUGCCUUGCAUGCAUAAGGCCCUGGGUUCAAUCCCCAG
rnacentral:tRNA from 1 species